CUUUGCCGGCGAGCGGCGGACGGGUGAGUAAUGUCUGGGAAACUGCCUGAUGGAGGGGGAUAACUACUGGAAACGGUAGCUAAUACCGCAUGACCUCGAAAGAGCAAAGUGGGGGAUCUUCGGACCUCACGCCAUCGGAUGUGCCCAGAUGGGAUUAGCUAGUAGGUGAGGUAAUGGCUCACCUAGGCGACGAUCCCUAGCUGGUCUGAGAGGAUGACCAGCCACACUGGAACUGAGACACGGUCCAGACUCCUACGGGAGGCAGCAGUGGGGAAUAUUGCACAAUGGGCGCAAGCCUGAUGCAGCCAUGCCGCGUGUGUGAAGAAGGCCUUAGGGUUGUAAAGCACUUUCAGCGAGGAGGAAGGCAUCACACUUAAUACGUGUGGUGAUUGACGUUACUCGCAGAAGAAGCACCGGCUAACUCCGUGCCAGCAGCCGCGGUAAUACGGAGGGUGCAAGCGUUAAUCGGAAUUACUGGGCGUAAAGCGCACGCAGGCGGUUUGUUAAGUCAGAUGUGAAAUCCCCGCGCUUAACGUGGGAACUGCAUUUGAAACUGGCAAGCUAGAGUCUUGUAGAGGGGGGUAGAAUUCCAGGUGUAGCGGUGAAAUGCG
rnacentral:rRNA from 1 species